CUGGCCUCAAAUCAGGUAGGACUACCCGCUGAACUUAAGCAUAUCAAUAAGC
rnacentral:rRNA from 1 species